rnacentral:rRNA from 1 species
GAUGAACGCUGGCGGUGUGCCUAAUACAUGCAAGUCGAGCGAACAGACGAGGAGCUUGCUCCUCUGACGUUAGCGGCGGACGGGUGAGUAACACGUGGAUAACCUACCUAUAAGACUGGGAUAACUUCGGGAAACCGGAGCUAAUACCGGAUAAUAUAUUGAACCGCAUGGUUCAAUAGUGAAAGCCGGUUUUGCUGUCACUUAUAGAUGGAUCCGCGCCGCAUUAGCUAGUUGGUAAGGUAACGGCUUACCAAGGCAACGAUGCGUAGCCGACCUGAGAGGGUGAUCGGCCACACUGGAACUGAGACACGGUCCAGACUCCUACGGGAGGCAGCAGUAGGGAAUCUUCCGCAAUGGGCGAAAGCCUGACGGAGCAACGCCGCGUGAGUGAUGAAGGUCUUCGGAUCGUAAAACUCUGUUAUUAGGGAAGAACAAAUGUGUAAGUAACUAUGCACGUCUUGACGGUACCGAAUCAGAAAGCCACGGCUAACUACGUG